rnacentral:rRNA from 1 species
AGAGUUUGAUCCUGGCUCAGAAUAAACGCUGGCGGCGUGCCUAACACAUGCAAGUCGAACGAGAAAGUCCGAUUUCGGUUGGGCGAGUAAAGUGGCGCACGGGUGAGUAACGCGUAGGCAACCUACCCCUGUGUUCGGGAUAACAGUGCGAAAGCGCUGCUAAUACCGGAUAUGUCCAAGAGACGUGGGUUUUUUGGUCAAAGUCGGCCUCUCGAAGAAGCUGACGCGCGGGGAUGGGCCUGCGUCCUAUCAGCUAGUUGGUAGGGUAGCGGCCUACCAAGGCUACGACGGGUAGCUGGUCUGAGAGGAUGAUCAGCCACACUGGCACUGGAACACGGGCCAGACUCCUACGGGAGGCAGCAGUGAGGAAUUUUGCGCAAUGGCCGCAAGGCUGACGCAGCAACGCCGCGUGGGUGAAGAAGGCCUUCGGGUCGUAAAGCCCUGUCAGGUGGGAAGAAUAGCCGGGAGGCGAACAGUCUUUCGGUGUGACGGUACCACCAGAGGAAGCACCGGCUAACUCCGUGCCAGCAGCCGCGGUAAUACGGAGGGUGCAAGCGUUAUUCGGAAUUACUGGGCGUAAAGCGCGUGCAGGCGGGAGGGCAAGUCUGAUGUGAAAGCCCCGGGCUCAACCUGGGAAGUGCAUUGGAAACUGCUUUUCUUGAGUGCUGGAGAGGAAGGGGGAAUUCCCGGUGUAGAGGUGAAAUUCGUAGAGAUCGGGAGGAAUACCAGUGGCGAGGGCGCCCUUCUGGACAGCAACUGACGCUGAGACGCGAAAGCGUGGGGAGCAAACAGGAUUAGAUACCCUGGUAGUCCACGCUGUAAACGAUGAGCACUAGGUGUAGCGGGGUACUCAUUCCUGCUGUGCCGCAGCUAACGCGUUAAGUGCUCCGCCUGGGGAUUACGGUCGCAGACUAAACUCAAAUGAAUUGACGG